rnacentral:rRNA from 1 species
GAUGAACGCUGGCGGCGUGCCUAAUACAUGCAAGUCGAGCGAACAGAUGAGGAGCUUGCUCCUCUGACGUUAGCGGCGGACGGGUGAGUAACACGUGGAUAACCUACCUAUAAGACUGGGAUAACUUCGGGAAACCGGAGCUAAUACCGGAUAAUAUAUUGAACCGCAUGGUUCAAUAGUGAAAGACGGUUUUGCUGUCACUUAUAGAUGGAUCCGCGCCGCAUUAGCUAGUUGGUAAGGUAACGGCUUACCAAGGCAACGAUGCGUGCCGACCUGAGAGGGUGAUCGGCCACACUGGAACUGAGACACGGUCCAGACUCCUACGGGAGGCAGCAGUAGGGAAUCUUCCGCAAUGGGCGAAAGCCUGACGGAGCAACGCCGCGUGAGUGAUGAAGGUCUUCGGAUCGUAAAACUCUGUUAUUAGGGAAGAACAAAUGUGUAAGUAACUAUGCACGUCUUGACGGUACCUAAUCAGAAAGCCACGGCUAACUACGUG